CAGAGUAGGUGCUCGUUGAGCAUCUCCUCAAUGAACCAAUGUUUUGCACAUGGAGUCCUAACGCUCUUCAGCCUGGAUAAGUUGCCAGCUGGACCUGGACUUUGCCUGUGGGUGGGCUCAGCUCUCUCUUCCCCCUGCCCCAGCCCCACCCAGUAGGGACUUACCUGCCUACAAUCAUGAGCUCCUUCUCAGAUGCCCGAGGCCGGAGGUGAUUCCAGAGGUCCAUGGUGAAGAUGGUGCUGGCACUGUUAAAGAUGGAGGAGUUCUAGCACGAGUUUGGGAUACGCGAUGUCAGAACAGCCUGAGGGGUUGCUGCAGAUCUUCCGGCAGAUCUCUGGAUCUGCACAAGCCACUUGAUCUACGGAGGAAACACAGGCCCAGAGCUGCGUUCUCACCUGGGAAGAGGAUGCGGCUAACCAUCCCAGGGAACACCAUUAUGAAGAGGGGCAGCACCUUCAGCUUUGGAUUUGUCAUUCACAUUCAUAAGAGCAAGAAAUAAAAUAGCAUGUAGAGCAAUGGAAAGGAGGAAGUAGUCAAGGAAGCAGGGAAAAUGCAAAUGAGAGAAGAGGUGGAGGAAGAAAAAAGUACUGACUUCAGCCACCCUAAGGAAAGAAGCAAAGAGAAGGAAAAAGCUUGCUGAGGCCACUGUCCUGUACCUGAUCCGUGCACCAGUACCAGAGGGAUGGGAUGGACAUUCCAAACAGGACCCCUGGCCACGGGAGAUCAGAUGUCAGUGGAUCUCGGAAAAUAUGGAAGGCAUCUUCCCGGGGCAGCCCGCAGCUGCUGUUCUCACUCCGGUUGCUGGCCAGGGCCAAGAAGUACUUCUCCUUCAGGCCUUCCAUCCCACCAACUGCAGCAAAACCUAGAAUUCAGAGGAAGCCUGUUUUCCAGGAACUCAGAUUGGUCCAUGGCUGAGGAGAUGGCUGGAGAUUGGUGAAAUUCUAGCAGGACCAGAGCUACCAAAAAAUGUUGAUCCCCUUAAGGGUUCUUAGCCUCCUCCCCACUUUUUUUUUAACUUAAAAAAAUUAAUAGUAGAGUUUUAUUGGACUAUAAUUGACCUAACCAUAAAUUGCAAAUAUUUAAAGUGUAAAAGUUGAUGUUUGACAUCAGUAGUCACCCAUGAAACCUCCGCCAUAAAGUAAUG